rnacentral:rRNA from 1 species
UAGGGAAUAUUAGAAAUGGACGAAAGUCUGAUCUAGCAACACCGCGUGUGCGAAGAAGGCCUUCGGGUUGUAAAGCACUUUUUGGAAGGAUUAGGAAGGAAUGUACUUCCAGAAUAAGUCUCGGCUAACUACGUGCCAGCAGCCGCGGUAACACGUAGGAGGCAAACGUUAUCCGGAUUUACUGGGCGUAAAGCGCGUGUAGGUGGUUUGGUAAGUAGAGCGUGAAAGCUCCUGGCUCAACUGGGAGAGGUCGUUCUAAACUGCCGGACUAGAGGAUGGUAGAGGGAGGUGGAAUUCCGGGUGUAGCGGUGGAAUGCGCAGAUAUUCGGAGGAACACCAGUGGCGAAGGCGGCCUACUGGGCUCUAACUGACGCUGAGGCUCGAAAGUGUGGGGAGCAAACA